GAUGAAGAACGUAGCGAAAUGCGAUAAGUAAUGUGAAUUGCAGAAUUCAGUGAAUCAUCGAAUCUUUGAACGCACAUUGCGCCCCCUGGUAUUCCGGGGGGCAUGCCUGUUCGAGCGUCAUUUCACCACUCAAGCCUCGCUUGGUAUUGGGCAACGCGGUCCGCCGCGUGCCUCAAAUCGUCCGGCUGGGUCUUCUGUCCCCUAAGCGUUGUGGAAACUAUUCGCUAAAGGGUGUUCGGGAGGCUACGCCGUAAAGCAACCCCAUUUCUAAGGUUGACCUCGGAUCAGGUAGGGAUACCCGCUGAACUUAAGCAUAUCAAUAAGCGGAGGA
rnacentral:misc_RNA from 1 species